rnacentral:rRNA from 1 species
CUUUCUUUUUUUUUUAAAACCCGGGGCGGGAAGCGGCAACAGCUCAAAUUUGAAAUCUGGCCCCCUUGGGGGUCCGAGUUGUAAUUUGCAGAGGGUGCUUUGGCGUCGGCAGCGGUCUAAGUUCCUUGGAACAGGACGUCACAGAGGGUGAGAAUCCCGUAUGUGGUCGCUGGCCUUCGCCGUGUAAAGCCCCUUCGACGAGUCGAGUUGUUUGGGAAUGCAGCUCUAAAUGGGAGGUAAAUUUCUUCUAAAGCUAAAUACUGGCCAGAGACCGAUAGCGCACAAGUAGAGUGAUCGAAAGAUGAAAAGCACUUUGGAAAGAGAGUCAAACAGCACGUGAAAUUGUUGAAAGGGAAGCGCUUGCAGCCAGACUUGCCUGUAGUUGCUCAGCCUGGCUUCGGCCUGGUGCACUCUUCUGCGGGCAGGCCAGCAUCAGUUUGGGCGGCCGGAUAAAGACCUCUGUCACGUACCUCUCUUCGGGGAGGCCUUAUAGGGGAGGUGAAAUGCGGCCAGCCCGGACUGAGGUCCGCGCAUCUGCUAGGAUGCUGGCGUAAUGGCUGUAAGCGGCCCGUCUUGAACCGCCCCCCGGGGGGAAAAA